GGCAGGCUUAACACAUGCAAGUCGAGCGGAUGAAAGUAGCUUGCUACUGGAUUCAGCGGCGGACGGGUGAGUAAUGCUUAGGAAUCUGCCUAUUAGUGGGGGACAACGUUCCGAAAGGAGCGCUAAUACCGCAUACGUCCUACGGGAGAAAGCAGGGGACCUUCGGGCCUUGCGCUAAUAGAUGAGCCUAAGUCGGAUUAGCUAGUUGGUAGGGUAAAGGCCUACCAAGGCGACGAUCUGUAGCGGGUCUGAGAGGAUGAUCCGCCACACUGGGACUGAGACACGGCCCAGACUCCUACGGGAGGCAGCAGUGGGGAAUAUUGGACAAUGGGGGGAACCCUGAUCCAGCCAUGCCGCGUGUGUGAAGA
rnacentral:rRNA from 1 species